rnacentral:rRNA from 1 species
UCUGGUUGAUCCUGCCAGUAGUUAUAUGCUUGUCUCAAAGAUUAAGCCAUGCAUGUCUAAGUACACACGAAUUAAAAGUGAAACCGCAAAAGGCUCAUUAUAUCAGUUAUGGUUCCUUAGAUCGUUAACAGUUACUUGGAUAACUGUGGUAAUUCUAGAGCUAAUACAUGCAAUUAAAACAUGAACCUUAUGGGACAUGUGCUUUUAUUAGGCUAAAACCAAGCGAUCGCAAGAUCGUUAUAUUGGUUGAACUCUAGAUAACAUGCAGAUCGUAUGGUCUUGUACCGACGACAGAUCUUUCAAAUGUCUGCCCUAUCAACUUUUGAUGGUAGUAUCUAGGACUACCAUGGUUGCAACGGGUAACGGGGAAUCAGGGUUCGAUUCCGGAGAGGGAGCCUGAGAAACGGCUACCACAUCUAAGGAAGGCAGCAGGCGCGUAAAUUACCCACUCCCAGCUCGGGGAGGUAGUGACGAAAAAUAACAAUACAGGACUCAUAUCCGAGGCCCUGUAAUUGGAAUGAGUACACUUUAAAUCCUUUAACAAGGACCAAUUGGAGGGCAAGUCUGGUGCCAGCAGCCGCGGUAAUUCCAGCUCCAAUAGCGUAUAUUAAAGUUGUUGCGGUUAAAACGUUCGUAGUUGAACUUGUGCUUCAUACGGGUAGUACAACUUACAAUUGUGGUUAGUACUAUACCUUUAUGUAUGUAAGCGUAUUACCGGUGGAGUUCUUAUAUGUGAUUAAAUACUUGUAUCUUUUUCAUAUGUUCCUCCUAUUUAAAAACCUGCAUUAGUGCUCUUAAACGAGUGUUAUUGUGGGCCGGUACUAUUACUUUGAACAAAUUAGAGUGCUUAAAGCAGGCUUCAAAUGCCUGAAUAUUCUGUGCAUGGGAUAAUGAAAUAAGACCUCUGUUCUGCUUUCAUUGGUUUUCAGAUCAAGAGGUAAUGAUUAAUAGAAGCAGUUUGGGGGCAUUAGUAUUACGACGCGAGAGGUGAAAUUCUUGGACCGUCGUAAGACUAACUUAAGCGAAAGCAUUUGCCAAAGAUGUUUUCAUUAAUCAAGAACGAAAGUUAGAGGUUCGAAGGCGAUCAGAUACCGCCCUAGUUCUAACCAUAAACGAUGCCAGCUAGCAAUUGGGUGUAGCUACUUUUAUGGCUCUCUCAGUCGCUUCCCGGGAAACCAAAGCUUUUGGGCUCCGGGGGAAGUAUGGUUGCAAAGCUGAAACUUAAAAGGAAUUGACGGAAGGGCACCACCAGGAGUGGAGCCUGCGGCUUUAAUUUGACUCAACACGGGAAAACUUACCAGGUCCGAACAUAAGUGUGUAAGACAGAUUGAUAGCUCUUUCUCGAAUCUAUGGGUGGUGGUGCAUGGCCGUUCUUAGUUCGUGGAGUGAUUUGUCUGGUUAAUUCCGAUAACGAACGAGACUCAAAUAUAUUAAAUAGAUAUCUUCAGGAUUAUGGUGCUGAAGCUUAUGUAGCCUUCAUUCAUGUUGGCAGUAAAAUGCUUAUUGUGUUUGAAUGUGUUUAUGUAAGUGGAGCCGUACCUGUUGGUUUGUCCCAUUAUAAGGACACUAGCUUCUUAAAUGGACAAAUUGCGUCUAGCAAUAAUGAGAUUGAGCAAUAACAGGUCUGUGAUGCCCUUAGAUGUCCUGGGCUGCACGCGCGCUACAAUGAAAGUAUCAACGUGUAUUUCCUAGACCGAGAGGUCCGGGUAAACCGCUGAACCACUUUCAUGCUUGGGAUUGUGAACUGAAACUGUUCACAUGAACUUGGAAUUCCCAGUAAGUGUGAGUCAUUAACUCGCAUUGAUUACGUCCCUGCCCUUUGUACACACCGCCCGUCGCUACUACCCGAUUGAAUUAUUUAGUGAGGUCUCCGGACGUGAUCACUGUGACGCCUUGCGUGUUACGGUUGUUUCGCAAAAGUUGACCGAACUUGAUUAUUUAGAGGAAGUAAAAGUCGUAACAAGGUUUCCGUAGGUGAACCUGCGGAAG